rnacentral:rRNA from 1 species
CCUUGGAGUGGGAAUAACAUUGGAAACAGCUGCUAAUACCGCAUGAUAUGUCUGUGUCGCAUGGCACUGGACAUCAAAGAUUUAUCGCUCUGAGAUGGACUCGCGUCUGAUUAGCUAGUUGGCGGGGCAACGGCCCACCAAGGCGACGAUCAGUAGCCGGACUGAGAGGUUGGCCGGCCACAUUGGGACUGAGACACGGCCCAGACUCCUACGGGAGGCAGCAGUGGGGAAUAUUGGGCAAUGGGCGCAAGCCUGACCCAGCAACGCCGCGUGAAGGAAGAAGGCUUUCGGGUUGUAAACUUCUUUUCUCAGGGACGAAGAAAGUGACGGUACCUGAGGAAUAAGCCACGGCUAACUACGUG